AGUCGACGGGUCCUUCGGGACUAGUGGCGGACGGGUGAGUAACGCGUGGGAACAUGCCCAAAGGUACGGAAUAGCCUCGGGAAACUGGGAGUAAUACCGUAUGUGCCCUUCGGGGGAAAGAUUUAUCGCCUUUGGAUUGGCCCGCGUUGGAUUAGGUAGUUGGUGGGGUAACGGCCUACCAAGCCGACGAUCCAUAGCUGGUUUGAGAGGAUGAUCAGCCACACUGGGACUGAGACACGGCCCAGACUCCUACGGGAGGCAGCAGUGGGGAAUCUUAGACAAUGGGGGAAACCCUGAUCUAGCCAUGCCGCGUGAUCGAUGAAGGCCUUAGGGUUGUAAAGAUCUUUCAGAUGGGAAGAUAAUGACGGUACCAUCAGAAGAAGCCCCGGCUAACUCCGUGCCAGCAGCCGCGGUAAUACGGAGGGGGCUAGCGUUAUUCGGAAUUACUGGGCGUAAAGCGCACGUAGGCGGACUGGAAAGUCAGAGGUGAAAUCCCAGGGCUCAACCUUGGAACUGCCUUUGAAACUCCCAGUCUUGAGGUCGAGAGAGGUGAGUGGAAUUCCGAGUGUAGAGGUGAAAUUCAUAGAUAUUCGGAGGAACACCAGUGGCGAAGGCGGCUCACUGGCUCGAUACUGACGCUGAGGUGCGAAAGCGUGGGGGAGCAAACAGGAUUAGAUACCCUGGUAGUCCCACGCCGUAAACGAUGAAUGCCAGUCGUCGGGCAGCAUGCUUUUCCGGUGACACACCUAACGGAUUAAGCAUUCCGCCCUGGGGAGUACGGCCGCAAGGUUAAAACUCAAGGGAAUU
rnacentral:rRNA from 1 species